CCCACUGUUCUCUCUAAGCUGUGCGUGUGUGCGCGCAUACACAGCUCCUAAACCCUGCACACAUGGCAAAACACUGCAUGCACAAAAAUUUGCACACAAGCACAACACUUUGCACAGAAGAAAUUUUUUGCACACACGGCCUGUCAAAAAUUAGGGGGAACAUUGACUGUAUGUAGGCUUCAGCC